GGCCUGCUUCUCGUCCGGUAGAUUUGAACGUGUCGCUAAAAAGCUUAUUCGCCUCCUUCGACAACGACGUUCCCUUCGUUUCGGAUUGAAAUUCACUACGUUCUUCUUGUUGGAUCGGAAGUAGCGACGAGAGCUCGCUCGCUGGGAAGGUGUUGCAGGGCGAGUUCUACGCGUUGAUCUCCUUCCUGGAAGAGCCUCAAAUCUGUAUCCGCAGCAGUUCUUUCUCGCAAGGUUGCAGAGUUGUGAACGGAUCCAAGCUUCUUAGCCUCCUCCUCCGACGUUGUUCCUGUCGGAUCAUAAGUCGCGUGGGGAGCUCGCCAUGAAGGUAAUGAUAUUUCUCCUCUGUCGCGUUCUUCUUCGAUUGGGAUUCUUUUUCCCUCGUGCCACACAAAUG